AAGCGAAACCUGUCCCGGCUUCGGCCGGGGCAUGGUCGGCCGGCCAUGGUGGCCCGGCCCUGAUGAGCAGCCCAGA
rnacentral:hammerhead_ribozyme from 1 species